AAUAGGCUUGGUCCUGGCCUUUCUAUUAGCUCUUAGCAGGAUUACACAUGCAAGCAUCCCCGCUCCAGUGAAGACGCCCUAUAAAUCAUCAUGACCAAGAGGAGCAAGCAUCAAGCACGCACACGCAGCUCAAAACGCUUUGCCUAGCCACACCCCCACGGGAGACAGCAGUGACAAGUAUUUAGCAAUAAACGAAAGUUCAACUAAGCCAUGCUAUAUUUAGGGUUGGUCAAUUUCGUGCCAGCCACCGCGGUUACACGAUUAACCCCAGCUAAUAGGGAUCGGCGUAGAGGGUGUUUAAGAUCUAACAUAAUAAAGCUAAACUCCACCUAAACUGUAAAACCCUAGCUAAUGUAAAAUAAACUACGAAAGUGGCUUUAAAGCUUCUGAACACACAAUAGCCAAGACCCAAACUGGGAUUAGACACCCCACUAUGCUUGGCCCUAAACCUCAGUAGUUAGAUAACAAAACUACUCGCCAGAAUACUACAAGCAACAGCUUAAAACUCAAAGGACUUGACGGUGCUUUACAUCCCCCUAGAGGAGCCUGUUCCGUAAUCGAUAAACCCCGAUCCACCCUACCCUCUCUUGCUCAGCCUAUAUACCGCCAUCUUCAGCAAACCCUAAUGAGGGCCACAAAGUGAGCGCAAACGCCGUCGCCGCGAAUACGUUAGGUCAAGGUGUAGCCCAUGAGACGGUAAAAAAUGGGCUACAUUUUCUAUUUCAGAAAACCCACGAAAACCCUUAUGAAACUUAGGGGUCCAAGGAGGAUUUAGCAGUAAAUUAAGAAUAGAGUGCUUAAUUGAACCAGGCCAUAAAGCGCGCACACACCGCCCGUCACUCCUCUCAAAUAUAUUUAAGGAAUAUCCUAACUAAACGCCCUAAUAUUUAUAUAGAGAGGAUAAGUCGUAACAUGGUAAGCGUACUGGAAGGUGCGCUUGGA
rnacentral:ncRNA from 1 species